rnacentral:rRNA from 1 species
AACGAACGCUGGCGGCAGGCCUAACACAUGCAAGUCGAGCGCACCUUCGGGUGAGCGGCGGACGGGUGAGUAACGCGUGGGAAUAUGCCCAGAUCUACGGAAUAGCCUUUGGAAACGAAGAGUAAUACCGUAUACGCCCUUCGGGGGAAAGAUUUAUCGGAUUUGGAUUAGCCCGCGUUGGAUUAGGUAGUUGGUGGGGUAAAAGCCUACCAAGCCGACGAUCCAUAUCUGGUUUGAGAGGAUGAUCAGACACACUGGGACUGAGACACGGCCCAGACUCCUACGGGAGGCAGCAGUGGGGAAUCUUAGACAAUGGGGGAAACCCUGAUCUAGCCAUGCCGCGUGAGUGACGAAGGCCCUAGGGUCGUAAAGCUCUUUCGCCAGGGAAGAUAAUGACGGUACCUGGUAAAGAAACCCCGGCUAACUCCGUGCCAGCCGCCGCCGUAACAC